AAUUUAUUAUUCACUUCAAAAUUAAUUUAAAAUAUUCUAAAAGAAUGAAAUCACUUUUCUAUUCGAUGGUAAAAAAAAAAAAAAAAAAGUAGGGCGAAGGGGAUUCCUUAAAGCAUUAUGUAAACCUUGUCCCAUUUGCUAGUAGGUAGUAAUUCGCCGAUGAUGGUUAAGGAACAAACAAACUAUCAUCCUCUCAAAAUGAGCGGAAUAAAUUGAAUUUGAAUGAGUUAAUUAUAGGUAAAAAUGGAUCAGUCUAAACUGAUAAAUAAGCACAUGAGUCCAAUUUAUUGAGUGUGGAUUCUCAGUGAUAAAAUAAAAAAAAUAAUUCUAAGAAUAAGACGAAGCAACUUCUUUAACUUUAUUUUUUUAAUACAGAUCAUUCAAACUUGAUUUGAUUGAACGAGUUAUUUUUUUGUGGAUUAAUUUAACACAUCUUCUAAGGAGACUUAUCUAAACAAAAUACAAAAUUCAAAUCCUAUUUUUUCUUUUUUUGUGAUGUAAAUUGCCACAAGAUACGUUAGCACGUAAGUUAGUUUAAGCUUAGAAAGCAACAUUUCAUUUGACUGAAUCACAAUUCUUUAUUCUUUCUUUAUUUUUUUUUUCCCUCUCAUCUGUUCUGCGAUUUUUGCCCCUUUUUUGAUCCAGUCAAUCACUACCCGACCUUGUGAGAUUAUGAUACAAGUAUGAUCGUGAUUGUGGAUCAAUAUGUAAUGACUCAAGCUCGGGUGGCUGCCCAAACAAUGAAACACGCUUUGAAGUGUAGAGAUCAAGUCCCAACACUCCAAAGCCAUCCAAUAUGCACACUCCAAGGCCUCCCCUUUGUCUUGGCUCAUUAAGAACAUUUUAGUCAUUUUGUAUUAAAUUGAAACCUAGGCUAUAAAUAGAACAUGUUAGGUCAUUUUGUCAUAACUUAGAUGAUAUUUUGAGAGCUCUUUGAGAGUGUUCAUACAAUUGGAUAUCACUUGUAACGUGUGGAAUCACUUGUGUUGGUUGCUUGGGGAUUUUGUUCCCUUGAGGUCACCGUAAGAACUUGAUGUUAUUUGUAUAAAUUCUUGGGUUUUAGUGUUCAAUAUACACUUUGGUUCAUAGUGUUUGUGCAUUGUGUGUCAAGUUAUCUAUCAUUCUAUCUUAUUAUUGUUGUUGUGUUCAUUCUCAGUUUUGGGUGUCCAAACCCGAGACCUUAUUGUGUCAUUUUUGUUCUUGUUAUUGUGUUGUAAUCUUAGUUUGUGGCUCGCUAAUUAUAGGUGUUGAACACCUUAGAAUCUUGUUGUUAUCGUGCUUGUAUUGUUAUUGUAUAGUAAAUUCGAGAGGGGUCACCAAAAAGGGUCCUCGGUUCUUCAAAUCAUGGACUAUUUUGGUGUGUGUUAGUGUCUUCCUUGUCGAUCUUGUAUCAUUUGAUAUCAAAGCCAUCUUUGAUUUUGUUUUAACAAGAUCAAUCUUGGGUUUGAGAGUUGAAAAAAAAAUUUAAAAAUAAAUUAAAAAAAAAGUGAAGGGUUCUUGAGAUUGUUCUUGGCCGAAAGUUGGGUCUUGUUGUAGUCUUGGCCGAGACAUUUUCUUUGUGACUAGAGCUUGUAGUCUUUUGUUUGUUUAGAUUGUUUCUAGUUUUGGUUUCUUUCUCACCAACACUAAAAAUGUCUUGAUCUAAAGGUUUGAGCUUAUGUUGUUUAACUUGUUGUAAACUUGAAGUUGGCCAUGGGUUGAUAUUGUUGUUCUUGACUGAGUGGUACAAUUGUUGUGGACUUGGAGAUGAAUAUUGGUGGAGUUGUUGUUCUUGAGAAAUUAUUGUUGUGAUCUUGUUGUUCUUGAAAUGUCUUGACCAAUAUAAAGUAUAACAUAGAUCCAAAAAGGUGUAAGAUAAAGUUGAAAAGUUGUUGGUGAAGAGACUUGAACACAUCACUUCAAAGACUUGUCAAUCACUUUUUCAUAUUUCAAGGACCUUGUUUUGUGGGAAUAGUACAAGUCAAGUCUCUCCUUUUUGAGUGAAUUUGAAAAAGUUUCUAAGACUUGAAUUUUUCCACCAAAAGGCAAAUUCUUCCAUUCCAACUUGUAUCAAGACAAAAGCUUCAAGUUGGUGAUUAAAAUUGUGUGGGACCGUGACCAGUUACGUGGCUACCACGUCAUCACGUUUUACUGUUCACGCAACAUAAUUAAGCUCAAAUUUUUGAUUUCUUAGUUUCUAAUCUUUGUUUCUUAGUUGCAUUUUGUUGAUUCUAUUGCUAAUUAGUAAUUGUCUACUAGGCUGUAAAUUAGUUUUUGGGUCCGUUUAUUCGUGUCUACAUUUCUUUGUGUGCUUUUAUCUUUUUGAAAUUCGUUGUAGUUUCUUUAGUUUCUUGGUUCAAGUCCGUACGUAUUUUCUUUGAGUUGUUUCAAAAGAGAAUCUAUUCCGACCUCGAGCCCCAAUUGGUACCAAGUAAUCUGCUUGGAGUAUAAACGAGUUACCAACACUUGUGAGGCCAAUUGAGAGGCAUUUCAAAGUGUGAGAGCUUGAGAGCUUGUGAGGAUGUUUUCUUUUCUAACAUUAACUAGUUUGUUGUUUUUUGUGUUUUUGUUUUAGAAUUUCUUUUGUUAGGAACUAUGGCAUUGGAAAAGGUGACCAUGAACGAUUUGAUGGCUGCCAUAAUUGAUAUGAAACGUGACCUUAGUAGUUGAAUGGAGAGAAUGGAAAAAAUAAUGGACCGAGUGGAAGGAAGAAUGGAAGGGACGGAAAGCUCUCUUUGCAAGGAGUUGGAUAACUUGAUAGAGAAUCCAAGUCUUCCUAAUCAAGUUCCUGUGAGUGGACAUGCUACACAUGAGUUACAAGGUAAUCAAACUAACUCUUGCACUCUAGUGAAUGAGGCUAGUAGCUAACUAAGUGUGAAUGGUAAUUUGUCUUUAGGUGAGCCGAAUAUGCCUCCAUUUGGUGAUGAUAAUGUCCAACUUGAGAUUGUCGAUACACUAGUUGAUCCAUCUAGUGUUGAGGCCAUUGUGGCAAGUGAUAGUACAUUGUCUUAUGGAAGUCAUGAAGACCAACUUGUGUGUUAAAAUGGUGAUGUUGAACAUGUUGGCCGAUUGACUAUGGAUGACCCUCUAGUUGUUUUUGUUGUAGACCAUGCUAGUAUAGAGGGGAUAUAUGAUUGUACUAGUGGUAGUAUUAGAAAAA